UAGGUAGAGCGGAGGGGACCACCUGGGUCAGGGGCAGGGCAGGGAGCGGGGCCCUGGAGGAAGGGUAAAGCCCCGGACAGAGUGAGGCUGACGCAGGCUACGCCGAGAGUGUUUUAGUGGGAUUCAGUGUAAGGAUCUGCAUUAGGAGGAGUAUCGGGAGGGAAGAUACGUCGCCUGGUAAUUCCAUCUUCCCCAUCUUCAGCCGGGUUAGUGGUCUUUUCUACAACUUAACCCUUCCUCAUUCUCAGAUGUUUAGUUUGCGUGGAGUUGAGCCCACCCCCAGCUUCUGAGGACAGGAUCCUGAUUGACUGAAGCCAAAGUGUGGCCUUGGUUUGAGGAUAGGCCCUUGACCUAAUUUGGGCCACAGUGCUCCCUGCAGAACACUAAUUAAACUCUGCCUGAAGAGGGAUGGUCCAUCAGGUAAAUGUGGGAAAUGCAGUAAACAAUAUUCCCGCUCGGGGAUUCUGUUUUUUUCAAGCACCUCAAUUAUCCCAUCUCUCCCCAGAUUGUUGAAUUACUCCCUCUCAACUAGAUGAUUACUGUGGUUUUAAACAUGCAUAAGUGUCUCAUAUGUUUAAAAAAAAAAAAAAAGGAAGAAAGAGAAAGAAGGAAAAAGCCUACGUGGAUCCCUCUAGCCCACCACCCUAUCUCCUGUCUUUCUCAGCUACAGAAUUGUCAGUAUUUCCUCUCUCCACUUCUACUUCCCCUUCUGUUCCAUCCCUCCUCCACAGAAAUGACCCUCAGGUCACCCCUACCUCCAUGUCGAAAAGCGCAUGGACGUGUUUCAAUCCUCAGCUCCUUUGACUCCCCAGGAGUACUUGACACUAUUGGUCACUUCUUCCUCCUUAAAGCACUCUGGUUCACAGGCUUCCAUGACGUUGCAUGACUCUCCUGGUCUCAGUCCUACCUCUCUGACUGCUCCUUCUCCGUUCUUUGCAGACAUCCUCUUCUACGCAACCCCUAAAUGAUGGGGUUCUCUCCUCCUCUGACUUCGCAGCUUCUCCUUAGACAAUCUCAUCCACGCUCACGGCCUCAGUUACCAGCAGGCCUCAGUCACGUCCCCACCCCUGGAGCUCGCAGACUCCUAGAUCGCAAGCUCCCCCAGCAUCUCUAGCGAAGAUCUUCGAAGGAAAGGGUUGUUCUGUCGCCACGGAGGCUGGAACAAUGCCUGGCACACAGAAGGUUCUCCAUAAGCGUCAGCUGAUAGGAACUGAAUCCAAAACCCCGCGCCUACCCUGCCGUGGACAUUUCUCCAGCAGGUCUGAGAUGAUGGCUGUUUGUUUAUUCACUCAUUCAAUCAAUAUUUAUUCACCACCUAUGGGGAACCAGGACUUCUUCUGGGAACUGGGGCUACAGGGACAAACAAGAUCCCAGGGCUCUGUCCUUAUGGAGAUGACACCCUGUAGAUGCUAAUAUCUGAGUGGUGAACACAGCUGUCAUCACAGAGCCUUCUCUGACCAUUGGACAUAAAAUCACCCUUCUGUUUUAUUUUUCUUCCCAGAACUUAUCAUCACAGGGCAUAUUAUACACUUGUUUGUUUGUUUGGCUGUGACACGCGGCAUGCGGGAUCUUAGUUCCCCGACCAGGGAUCGAACCGGUGCCCCUGCAGUGGAAGCGCAGGACCCUAACCACUGGACAACCAGGGAAUUCCCUACUUGUUUUUUUUUUUUUUUUAACAUCUUUAUUGGAGUAUAAUUGCUUUACAAUGGUGUGUUAACGUGUUUGUUUUUUAAUCCAUCAGCCUUCUCACACAAAAAUGUAUGCUCUUGUAGAAUAAUUUAUCCAUGGCAUUCACUGCUGAGUCUCCACAACAAUGCCUAACACACAGUAGGCGCUCAACAUAUACAUGUCAAAUCAGUUUCUUCAAUGUACUCUGCAAUCCUCUAGAAGAACUUUCUAGCAAAACUCUCCAGGGAAUGAGCUAAGAAGACCUCUAGAGGGUCAUAACAACAGAUUACAACCGUCCAGGGCCUUACAGUUUACAAAGCAGGGAGGUGCACUGGGGUGAGCGUGGGCCUUCACCUUUCAGAGCCCUGAUUUCCUCCUUGUAAAGUGGAAAUAACAACACCGGCCUUUGGGGACUGUUGUGACUGGUGAAAGAAGUGAUGGGUAUGAAUCGCCCCACCUGGCACCUGGUACUUUGCAGGUGCUCCAUGCUUGAGGACUGGGCACUAUUGUUUCUUUCUUAUUGGAACAUCUCAGUUCCGUGUGGACAUUAUUAUUCUCAUCCCCAUUUAAUCAACAAGGAAAGCCCAACUCGCAGAGGCUUAGGAAUUUGCUCACGGUAGCUCAGGCAGGACUAGAAGUCCCGAGAGGGACAGAAUUCCAAAUAUAGUGCCUUACCUGUCACCCCGGGGCGGCCAGCUCUGGCAGGAAAGCACAUCUCGUAAAUCCUCUUAUUUCCUCCUCCGCCCUCACUUCGAUGUUCCCCAUUUUCAGCACGUCACCCAUCUCUGUGGGAAAAGAAGAGCUUUGGAGAGAAGCAAAAGCCAAAGGGGAAGCUUGUGCAUUUGGUUAGUAGGUGAAAGGCGAAUCCCCCUCCUGCCCACCUCUCCAGCCCAUUCUGCAGCUUCCCCCAGUGCCUCUCCCGAGUCUCCCCAUAGCCCGCAUUUCUCUAAGCCUUAGGGACCCUCCACAUCCCAGCGUCUAAGUUGACAGGGAUUCUGGUCCAAGCAGGUGGGAUGGGCCACGAGACUCAUUAGCAUAAAUCAGGAAAUUUCUUGCAAUCGAGAGGUCCUCAGAACACUGACUAGAUUAUAAACACUACUAGUAAUUGAACUUUCUAAAAAAAAUUAUAAUCUAAAAAUAUUUAUAAUAGUGCUAUAAUUCAUGAACAUCUCCUAGAUUCCGGGCAGUGUGGGAGGCAAUUUACAAAUACCGGACAACAACCUGAAAGGCAGAUAUUAUUAUUCCCAUUUUAUAGAUGAAAAUGUUGAGGCUCAGGGAGAUGAAUAAUCUUCUCAGAGGUCAUGUAGCUACUAAGUGAUGGAGGCCCAGGAUUUAAACCCAGGUCUGCCUGCCUUCAAAGCUCAUGUCCCUGCUCCACAAAAUAUGCAGGGGCGGGGAGUUAAUGUGCCUUAGGACACCUGUCCCACCAACCCUCUGAAGAAAAUUGGAAACAUCCUAAAAAAUACAAAAAUCAGUGGAUGGUUAUAUGAAGUAUAUAGAGUGGGUGUAACCUGUAGAAUAUUUUGCAGUUAUUGAAAAUUACACACAGAAUAUGAUGACACAGAAAAAUACUUGUGAUAAAUGGAAAAUGUAGGAUACAAAAUGUAUAUCCAUGGAGGUUUUAAUUUUAAAUGUUUGUCCACUACAUAAAUGAGCAUGUGAAGUAUAAACAAGCAUGUGCAAAAGACUGAAAGGAAAUAUAUAAAUAUAAUCACAACUGUGGGGUAGAAUUUAGAGGGAUUUCCCCCCUCUGGUUACUAAUCUUUCUGUAAUGUGGUUAAAUUACUUUGCAAUUUACAAAUUAAAAAAAUAUUCUAAGACAGUCUUCUCUGAAGUUCUGUAGCUUUGCAAUAGAGCACAUACACCAGCAUGCAUUGUUUUUUUUUCAUUGAACUAUACUUGAUUUUCAAUGUUUCAGAUGUACAGCAAAGUGAUUCAGUUAUAUAUAUAUAUAUGUAUACAUAUAUAUUCUUUUUUAUAUUCUUUUCCA